rnacentral:rRNA from 1 species
GACGAACGUAGGCGGCGUGCUUAAUACAUGCAAGUCAACUGAAACACCGGUAGCAAUACUGGUGUGGAGGUGGCGCACGGGUGAGUAACACGUAGGUAAUCUGCCUUCAGGUCUGACAUAACUCCGGGAAACCGAAGCUAAUAUCAGAUGAUGCAGCGGCUUGACAUCAAGACAGUUGUUAAAGCUUCGGCGCCUGAAGAUGAGCCUGCGUCUGAUUAGCUAGUUGGCGGGGUAACGGCCCACCAAGGCAACGAUCAGUAGCUGGUCUGAGAGGAUGAUCGGCCACACUGGAACUGAGACACGGUCCAGACUCCUACGGGAGGCAGCAGUAAGGAAUAUUGCUCAAUGGGAGAAAUCCUGAAGCAGCAACGCCGCGUGAGGGAUGAAGGGCUUUUGCUUGUAAACCUCUGUAGCGAGAGAAAAAAACUCCAUUUUAUGGAGCAUGAUGGUAUCUCGAAAGUAAGCCCCGGCUAACUACGUGC